CUUUGUUUGAAGUAAUCAUUGUCCCUAGAAAUGGGAAAUUACACAUUACUGUUUACCGAAAGGAAAUAAACACCUUGGAUGACUAGGGUUCUUGCCCCCAGAGAGCGAUCCCCGACCUUGCCUGCAAGCUGGGUGGGAAGCCUGCACACUACAUCCUGCAAACACAUUCACUUUCGGUGUUUGACCAUUUCUGCAGGGGAAAUGGUUGGAUCCUGUGUGUCCCACGAAGCUUGCUUGCCGUGUCCUUGUUACGUCAUCACGGAGGACCUUUGCUAGUCUUUUUCUGGUUGCAGAAGCAAGUACAGGAAAAAACAUGGGGAACGGGGCGUGUCUCCUGCUUACUCCGUUCAGACAUGGACUGGACUCUUGCUCUGUGUUCACAGGUAUCUGAUGAGCUCUCACUAAAUAAGAGUGAAUAGGAAUGCUUUAUUGAGACGGCCUGAGCCACAGGCAGGUUCACGCAGGUAGGAAAAGGUCUUGGAGGUGGCUCUGAGCACUGUGUCUGUCUCAGCCUUUCCGUGUUCUGGCUCCGUGGUCUCCCAAGCCCUCCCCUGCUUUUCACUCUGGCCAUUGUCAACCCCAGCAGCCUCAAGCUGGCCUCUGAGCCACACGCAGCUGUUUCCAGUGCUCUUUAACAUUCCCUGCUGUCUCCAGCCCCCUGACUUUUAAGCAGGUUUCUCUUCCCCAUCCGUUGGAUUUCAGUUUAGGCGGCAUUUCUUCCUGGGAUUCUUCUUCCCUACCCCCCCCCCCCCCCCCCCCCCCCCCACGUGCCUGUGCAUUCAUGCUGGUCUGUAGCUUCCUGUUCUCAGCAUUAUUCAUACUAAAUUACCGGUGACGAGUUGCUUGUCUGUCUGCCUCCCCCGUCAGACUGUCAGCUCUGUGAGGGAGGGAUGCAGCCUGCUUGUUCAGCAUCACAGCUCCGGCACAGUGCCAGGCACACAACACACGGCAGAAACUCAGUAAGCCCUUCUAUCGCUAUUUUGUCACUUCAUACACUUCCCCUUAGCAACAUGAACUGCAGUUGUUCGGCUGCCCACUCUUGUGUAUUUCGCCGAUCUCCACCCUAUCUCCAACCCGUCAGCCUCUACUUGGGUAACAAAAACAAACAAAACAAAACCUAGAAAAUCAACAAAAGAAACACACACCAGAACUGGUUCUCUGAGAUGACUGGAGCCUAUCGAUGCCAUGGCCCUGCCACGAGGCCCGUGCCUCUCUCCCAGAGUCACCUCCCUCCCUGCAAAGUGGAUAUGCCCUAAAUUCCACUGGAAUGUAAGCUCCAUCAAGGCAGAACACACCACAGCCUUUAGCACUGGGAUGCAAGGACCAGACUAAGCCCGAGGAAACUGGUAACUGAGCAGGGCAGUUUCGAUCUCCAGCCCCAAUGCAGGGAACCCAGACGUUUUCUACAGGAGGAGGAGUCGCUGACCAUUGCUGAGCAGGGAAGGUACAAGAUGAAGCCGGGAUGUGCAGACCCACAGGGGAGGUCAACGUGACCUGGGCCAGGAGGCCAUGGAGGAGGGGAAACAUGCAGGUUCAGGUGGGAAGGAGUUCUAUGUGAUCUGGGCAGAAGCAGCGGGAUGGAAAUGAAAGGGUAAGUAGAUGGGGAGGAGCGGGGAUGGACUCCUGAAGUCUUGGAGCCAGUUUCUUGAGUAUAUGAAGCAGAGAGAAGGUCGGGGCGGGGAUGCCAAUGAAAGGGAUUUCUCAACGGUUCCACCACCAGGGGUGGGGGGUGGGGGGAUGCAUCUCAUCCCUUCCCGGGCCCUCACCUUCAAAGUCUGCUAUUUGCACGUCCCCAAGAACACACUGCCCUCUUCCGGGUUCAGGCUUAGUACGGGACACCCAAAGAACGGACACAGCCUUUCUACAAACUUCCUUUCCACCCUCGCCGCCUGGGAACCACACGGAGGGAGGUGUGUCAAGACCAAAACUGCGCCAACAGCAGAACCGUUUCCCAGUCUCCCCCUCCCACAGACACAAGAGUUUGGCUGGAUGCUCUGCCGAGGGGUCGGAAGGGUCUUUCGGCUGCCUGUGCAAAGCUAAGGAACGGCCUCCUGAUUUUAUGGAGAGACGCAAACCGUGUUUGGAAUAAAUAUCCCUUGGUUAUUGUUGUUUUACAGGGCUGUAGCAGUGGCCAGGAAGAAAACCGCCCCCUCUGAAAGUUGUUUUGGUGACUGUUCUUUGGAGCAUUGUUCUAAAAAUGGGAAAUUACAUAUUGCCGUGCCAAAGGAAACAAACACCUGCACUUAAAGGAAUACCUUCCACGAGGUGGCUCUCAGAGCCCCAGCCAGUUCUGGACGCGGGGCUGUUACACAAGUUUCACUUGGUGCUUUCUUCACUUUUAAGGGGAUCGGGUGCUUCUCCAUUCGUAACCAGGGUGGGCUUUGGCGACUACGGGGCUCCGGGGGCUUUGUCUUUUACUCAUUCACUCAAUAAACAUCUAUCGAGCAUC